rnacentral:rRNA from 1 species
UACAGAGGGUGCGAGCGUUAAUCGGAAUUACUGGGCGUAAAGCGCACGUAGUCGGCUUUGCAAGUCGGGUGUGAAUCCCCGGGCUCAACCUGGGAACUGCAUCCGAGACUGCAUUGCUAGAGUAUGGGAGAGGGAAGCGGAAUUUCUGGUGUAGCAGUGAAAUGCGUAGAUAUCAGAAGGAACAUCAGUGGCGAAAGGCGGCUUCC